GUGAAGCGAUUACGAACAGGUGUCUCACACUGCGUACCUGAAAGCCGUCAGGCCUUCAUAGAAACUCUUCAUAGGGACCUAUAUAAACGUGUGCCAGUGUAGUCCAGCCCCAUUCUUGAUAUUCAUCAACAUCAACAUCAACACCAUGUUCUUGAAGAUGUUUGUACUCGCUGCUGUGAUGUUAUUUUGUUUGUUCUGUCAUUCAGGUGAUGCGGCCCAGUGUACCGUUACUUCCAGGAAUAUCAAUGUGAACAUCACAUGCUCCACGGGUUGUUGCCUUGGGAGCUCGGGAUUCAGAUGUUGUGGCGACACCAUCACCACCACCACCACCAACAACAACAACAACAACAUGAGAGGUGACAUCAACCAGUGGCCUAAACGACUGACGGGGCGAUGUGAAGGUCAUACUUGCGACAACAACUCCAGAUGUGAAGUCAACGUUGACAUGACCAUCCAAUGUGUCAACACACUGGAAAGGGGAUAUCUGGAUAAAGAUUAAUCAAACUUUUGAAUCAGAGUAUGCAAUGCCAUCCAGGGUGUUUGGACCUCCUGCCUAUGUCAUGUGAAGGACAUUUCCAAAUUAGACACUUUUGACAAAAAUGAAGUUCGGCUCAAUUCCCUAUUUGAAUAGUAUUACAUAUCCCAUGUUAUUUUCCUGUACACAGUUGACUUGCUUUUGCAUGUGUUUGUGACGGGUGCCACCGAUCGGACUGGAUACCUCACCUCUUCGCGAAUACCUAGUAUCAUCACUUAAAUGAUAAAGACCCCCUCGGUGGUCUAAGUGGUAGAGCGUCCGCCCGGAGAGCGGAAGGUCCGGGGUUCGAUCCCCGGCCGC